CAAGAAUGUUUAUUUGUAGUUUGGAUUCUUUGUGUAUGUCAGUUGUUUGUUCAUAUAAUGAUGAUGGGCCCCAUUAUUAUAUGAGCCCACCUGAAGGUGGUCAACUGAUACUCACAGAAGAUCUACUCUGCACUAAACAUUCUUUAUGUGAUGAUAUAACUGGGGUAUUGAAGUGGUCCCUUUCCCUUUGCUGGAAGUUAUAUAUAAAGGAAUGAAGUAGCUACAAAAGAAGAUAGAAAAAGUUUGGUUAUAGCCGACAUCAUCAAUAGAAAAGGCAACUUUUCAAACGAAGUUUGUGGAGUGGGGUCAUCCUCCAGUUGGAUGUUGCUCUCUAACUUUACCUCAUUUAUAUGGUCGUUCACAGGUGAAUUUCCUUUAAAUCAGGCCUUGUCUGUUAUUCUAUGCAGCACGAAACUCGACUGCUACAUGGCAAA